GGGUCGGCUUCUGGGACAACACGAACUCAGACACCCUCCAUUGGUGAGUGUAUUCAGCUGCCCACGCCGCCAUCCAAGGCUGACCCUGAGAAGAGCUCUGCACGCGUUCGGCGAACGAACGAAUGAAGAAUGAAUGAAUGAACGCAACCCGGCCUCAGGCAUGGGGCUCCUGCUAAAGCGAGAACCGCUCGGCGCCUGGCCCCUCCCCUUCAGGCUUCCCAGUGGCCCGCCUGGAAUUGAGCUGAAAAAUGAUUUUUCAUACACGUCGCCCUCAUUAUAACAUCAUCCCUCAGAGCGAAGCUCUCUGACCACCCUGAAGACCUGUAUUUAAUGUGAUGAAAGGUGAUUUAAUGGAGUCGAGGAGAGCGGAGCAGAAAGUGGACAGCGUUUCAGAAUGGCGGAGCAUGCUGUCCCUCCGAGGGGAAGGAGAAAAGGAAAUAGAAAAAGGGGGGAGGAAUCCAGCACCCCACCCUCAGAAGACCCUGGAAUAAGAUGUUUUGGUCAGCUCCACUGGAAGGCCAAAAUGAAAGCCUGCAGGGAAAAGCCAGAAUUUUCCAGCAAACCACGUCUCAUCUCAGUGUCUCCGACCUCGGGCUGUCCACCCAUGGGAUCUCUGAGGACUCUCAGUGCCCUUUUAGAAUGACACAAAGCGCAGGUGAGGAAGAAGAAGUCUGGCUGACAGUGGGGGAUGGGAGAUCUGGGCUUUGGCGUGCUCUUGGGGACCUUGGCCAAAUCACUUAGUUCACAGGACUGGGCUCCGCUUUAACAGAGGGGGCUGAUCCACAAACUGAUUUCUAAGGCAGCGUUCCUCAAACUUGAGUGGGUGUGCAUGACCCCUAGGGUCUUGUGAAAAACGCAGAUUCUGGAUGGGUCAGUCUGGGGUGGGGCCUGGGAUUCUGCAUUUCUAGCAGCCCGGCACGUGAUGCUGCUGCUGGGCUGAGAACCACACCGUGAGUAGCCAGGGUCAAGGCUCCUUUAUGAAUCUGCUGAUCUAGGGCCAUGACUGUCAGCCUUGGCUGCACAUUGCAAUCACCUGGGGAGCUUUAAAAAAAUGUCAUCGCCCGGACCACAUCGCAGACCAAUUAAAUCUGAAUCUUCGGGGUCCAGCCCAGGCAACAGUAUUCAUUCUUUAAAGUUCCCCAAGUGACUAGGGCCGGUCGAAGGCUCCACAGGGCUCCACGCACGGAACCAGUUCCUCUGAGGUUUGUCACCCACGUUGGCUAGCUUGUGACGAUCAUUGAAUAGAGCAGAUGCAAUUCUCUGACACAGUGGUCUGCGCUGCAACCGUGUCCCAGAGUCGCGGGGCCCUGCCUGAAUGGCGAGGGGCUCUUUUCUCCCGGAGACAGAGGGGGAUGGGUCCACAGACUUUUACAAGCUGAGACCGAUGGAAUGUUUUUCUUCGUAAUGCUUCUUUACUAAAGGCCAGAUUCGUGGUUUGCAAACGCAGAUGCCUACAUGGGCCCAGGUGGGCAGCACGAAUCAUAAAUCAGAGCAAGAUGUUUGCAUAUGUAAAUAUGCAGGUGUAUUUUGCCCUUCCUCAAAGAAUCAUGCUCCUUCCACAUUUUUCUUAAAACUCAAGGCCAUCUUUUCCUUCAUUUUCCUUUUCCUUUUUGAUGGAGAUGAGUACAAGAGAAAGAUCUGGCUACUCCAAGGCAUUCCAUAGGGCAAGUUCUGGGGCAAAGUCGGGCUUAGGCAAGGCCUGAGGUUUGUACAAAUGCACAAUACUUGUUUUACUGUUGCAAAUAUACAAAACCGUACCACUGUGAA